rnacentral:tRNA from 1 species
AAUUGUAUAUUCAACUAUGAUUUUAAAUUGCAAAUUUAAAGGUAGCCUGCGGCUUAUAAUUU